GGCUGGCUCAGUGGUUAAAACGUACGCCUCGUAACCGAAAGGUCGCGGGAUCGAAUCCCGCUAGAGGCUG
rnacentral:tRNA from 1 species